rnacentral:rRNA from 1 species
UACGUAGGGUGCAAGCGUUGUCCGGAAUUAUUGGGCGUAAAGAGCGUGUAGGCGGCCCGAUUAGUCCGCUGUGAAAGUCCAGGGCUCAACCCUGGAAUGCCGGUGGAUACUGUCGGGCUAGAGUCCGGUAGGGGAGUGUGGAAUUCCUGGUGUAGCGGUGAAAUGCGCAGAUAUCAGGAGGAACACCAACGGCGAAGGCAGCACUCUGGGCCGGAACUGACGCUGAGGAGCGAAAGCGUGGGUAGCGAACAGG